rnacentral:lncRNA from 10 species
GAGGGGACGAGGAAAGAAACUUUCUUCUAACUCUCUGCCUGGAGUGUUUAUUUUCUUUCUUUUAAGGGAUGUUACUGGCUGGUUUUACAAUUAGGAAUGUUCCAUUCAUCAAUGAACAUGUCCAUGUUCCUAACGCAUGGUCUUCAAUUUUAACUUUUUGACUUUUUAAUAAUAGCCAUUCUGCCUCCUGUGAGGUUGUAUCUCAUUGCACUUUUGUUUUGCAUUUCUCUAAUGAUUAGUGAUGUUGAAUAUUUUUCCGUAUACUUGUUGACUACAUGUUUGUCUUCUUUUGAGAAUUGUCUUGUCCUGUCCUUUGCCCAUUUAAUGGGGUUGUUAGAUUUUUGCUUGUUGAUUUUUCUAAGUUCUUUUUGGAUUCUGGAUAUUAGACU